CCCAUCUUUCUCUUUGUAGUGCCCGCCUGCCUGAGAACCUUUGAGCGCUCCUGAGAGUUCUCACAGACAGAUGGGCGCUGGGUGUAGGUUUGCUCUCUGAUCUCCACGCUUCUCUGCGGCACUUCGCCUCCCCCAAUGACAGAUGCAAAGUCCCAUAUGUAACAGGAUGGGCUGGUGGAGAGCAUGCUUCAUUCCUUGCUCUUGAAUUCCCCCAAGGAAGAUCCCAGCCUUGUUCAGACAAAGAGGCGGAAGCAGAACAAAGUUUGCAUUCUCCAGCUGAGGAAAAAUGAGGUGAAAGAGGAAGACAAGGAGGACAAGGAGGAUGAGGAAGAGGAGGAGGACCAAGCAGAGGGGCCCCCUUCCUCUUUGCAAUCACCUAGGACAGGACAGAGGCAAUGCCCGUACUCAAGAAUCUGCCAAGUGAGGCACAAGGAGCACCUGAGCACUUGGAAAGUAGCUUGAGCUUAUCCACUGGUGAAACCAAGUUGUCUGGCUGGAGUCUGUCCAUGUUUUGCCAAUACUUAUGUAGCUGCUGCCACAGGAAGCAGAAGUCAGUGGAGGAAAACAAGGCAUCCGCCCCUGGAGCAGCGAGGAGCCCAGGCGAGACUGACUCAGCUGUGAGCUUCACUAAUGGGUGAUGGUCCAGAUCUCCAAGGGGCUCCAAGGAAAGCUCUUGGCAGAAGCCAGAAGAGCAGAGAGUGUAAUCCUUCCACUUAGAAAUAAAGCACAUUUUAUUUUUGUGAA